rnacentral:lncRNA from 1 species
AGGAACCGAAGUCGUCGCCGCCGCCGCCACUGCCUGGGUCUUCGGUCGGGGCCCGCAGCCAUGGAGGAUUACAUCGUGAUCUCGGACGACAGCGGCUCUGAGAGCUCCGGGGGCGCCCGCCCGGGCCGGUCGCGGAGGCUGCGCCGGGCCCUGUCGCGAACCUCCGGCGCGCUGCCCCGCCGGACCGUGGACUUCAUUGACUUAACUAGAGAGAUCAGACCAAGGACAAAAGAUCGCAGUGGACUGUGUGAUUGACCUGACAAGAGCUGAGGGAGAAAAUAGACCUAUUGCCACUCUUGACUUAACUUUAGAACCUGUCACUCCUUCCCAGAGGGAGCCAACCAGUCUUCAGACAUGUGCCAGCCUCUCUGGCAAAGCGGUGAUGGAAGGGCAGGUGGACAGAAGCUCUCAGCCUACAGCACGGAGACUCAUUAACAGUGAUCCUGUAGAUUUGGACCUAGUGGAAGAAAACACCUUUGUAGGUCCCCCACCCGCUACAUCCAUCAGUGGAGGCUCUGUUUAUCCAACAGAGCCUAAUUGUAGCUCAGCCACAUUCACAGGUAACCUCAGCUUCUUGGCAAGUCUACAGCUGUCUUCAGAUGUUAGCUCCCUCUCCCCAACAAGCAAUAAUAGUAGCAGCAGCAGCAGCAAUCAAAAAGUACCCUUGCCAUGCCCACAGCAAGAUGUGUCUCGCCCACCACAAGCCUUGCCUUGCCCACUGAGAGCCUCACCUUGUCCACCACGAGCCUUGUCAUGCCCAUCACAAACCAUGCAGUGCAAACUACCAGCUCUAACUCAACCACCUCAAGAAGUGCCAUGCCCUCGGCAGAAUAUCCCAAGCCCACCUCAAGAC